rnacentral:rRNA from 1 species
UAAGGAAUAUUGGACAAUGGCCGCAAGGCUGAUCCAGCCAUGCCGCGUGCAGGAAGAAGGCGCUAUGCGUCGUAAACUGCUUUUACACCGGAGAAAACCCCUUUACGUGUAAAGGGCUGAUAGUAUGGUGAGAAUAAGCAUCGGCUAACUUCGUGCCAGCAGCCGCGGUAAGACGAAGGAUGCAAGCGUUAUCCGGAUUCAUUGGGUUUAAAGGGAGCGUAGGUGGUCUUAUAAGUCAGUGGUGAAAUCUUCUCGCUUAACGGGAAAACUGCCAUUGAUACUGUAGGACUUGAGUAUAGUUGCUGUGGGCGGAAUAUGACAUGUAGUGGUGAAAUACUUAGAGAUGUCAUAGAACACCGAUUGCGAAGGCAGCUCACAAAACUAUAACUGACACUGAGGCUCGAAAGUGCGGGGAUCAAACAGG